rnacentral:rRNA from 1 species
AGUGAACGCUGGCGGUAGGCCUAACACAUGCAAGUCGAACGGCAGCACAGUAAGAGCUUGCUCUUACGGGUGGCGAGUGGCGGACGGGUGAGGAAUACAUCGGAAUCUACUUUUUCGUGGGGGAUAACGUAGGGAAACUUACGCUAAUACCGCAUACGACCUACGGGUGAAAGCAGGGGAUCUUCGGACCUUGCGCGAUUGAAUGAGCCGAUGUCGGAUUAGCUAGUUGGCGGGGUAAAGGCCCACCAAGGCGACGAUCCGUAGCUGGUCUGAGAGGAUGAUCAGCCACACUGGAACUGAGACACGGUACAGACCUCUACGGGAGGCAGCAGUGGGGAAUAGUGGACAAGGGGCAAGCCUGAUCCAGCCAUACCGCGUGGGUGAAGAAGGCCUUCGGGUUGUAAAGCCCUUUUGUUGGGAAAGAAAAGCAGCAGGUUAAUACCCCGCUGUUCUGACGGUACCCAAAGAAUAAGCACCGGCUAACUUCGUG